AGGGCGUAUGGUGGAUGCCUAGGCAGAAAGCGACGAUGAAGGACGCGGCUGGCUGCGAUAAGCCUCGGUGAGUUGCGAGCAAACUUUGACCCGAGGAUCUCCGAAUAAGGCAACUACCAGAGUUUUUAGGACUCGGAGCAUAUAGCCAACACAUAACUAUAUGCAGGCAACCCGGUGAAGUGAAACAUCUCAGUAACCGGAGGAACAGAAAUCAACCGAGAUUCUCCAAGUAGCGGCGAGCGAACGGGGAAGAGCCCAAACUCAAAUAACGUGAUAGGCUGCCGCCGUUGUUAUUUGAGGGUUGCAGGGGUAACUUUUAGAAGUUCGGCAGAGCUUCUGCAGAGUAAAAAAUCCAAGCGUUAGCUGAAGUUGUAUGGAAAGGCACACCGCAGCGAGUGAUAGUCUCGUAAGCGAAAAUGAUUGGACUCUGUAAGUUAUCGCCUAAGUACCGCGAGGCACGUGAAACCUCGUGGGAAUCUGGGAGGACCAUCUUCCAAGGCUAAAUACUACUUUCUGACCGAUAGUGCUUAGUACCGUGAGGGAAAGCGUGAAAAGAACCCCGAGAGGGGAGUGAAAUAGAACCUGAAACCAUGCGCUUACAAGCCGUUAGAGGCCAACGGAUUCGUCCGGGCUGAUAGCGUGCCUUUUGUAGAAUGAGCCGGCGACUUACUGUAACGGGCGAGGUUAAGGACCGAUGGUCCGGAGCCGAAGCGAAAGCGAGUUUGAAUAGAGCGUAUUAGUCCGUUGUAGUAGACCCGAAGCCAGAUGACCUAACCAUGACCAGGGUGAAGGGUGCGUAACAGCACCUGGAGGCCCGGACCGGUGAUUGUUGCAAAAAUUUCGGAUGAGUUGUGGUUAGCGGUGAAAUGCCAAUCGAAUCUGGUGAUAGCUGGUUCUCCCCGAAAUAGCUUUAGGGCUAGCGUCGAGCGUUAACAUCCUGGGGUAGAGCACUGACAGAGUUAGGGGCCUUGAUCGGUUACCGACCUCCAUCAAACUCCGAAUACGGGAUGGUAUUUCUCGGCAGUCAGACAGUGGGGGAUAAGCUUCAUUGUCGAGAGGGAAACAGCCCAGACCGACCGCUAAGGUCCCGAAGUCACAGCUAAGUGGAAAAGGAAGUAUUACUUCAUAAACAGCCAGGAGGUUGGCUCAGAAGCAGCCACCCUUUAAAGAGUGCGUAAUAGCUCACUGGUCGAGUUGUAGUGCGCCGAAAAUGUAACGGGGCUCAAGCUGUGCACCGAAGCGUCGGACUGCAGUUUUACUGUAGUGGUAGGGGAGCGUUCUGUAGGCCUGUGAAGGAGUACCGUGAGGGGCUCUGGAGGUAUCAGAAGUGCGAAUGUCGGCAUAAGUAGCGUAAAGAGAAGUGAGAAUCUUCUCCGCCGAAAAUCUAAGGUUUCCUGGGCCAGGGUUAUCCUCCCAGGGUAAGGCGGGACCUAAGCCGAGGGCGAAAGCCGUAGGCGAUGGCUAAUCGGUUCAUAUUCCGAUCCUAGUGUAUCUUGUUUGAGCGAUGGAGUGACGCAGGAAGGUAGCUCGAGCGGGCGUUGGUUGUCCCGUGACAAGCGUGCGAGUGGUCUGGCAGGCAAAUCCACCAGAUAACACUGAGGCGUGACGUACAAGUCUUUAUAGACUGAAUAGAGUAAUCCUACACUGCCUGGAAAAGCUUCUAGUGAGAGAUGCAUUACCCGUACCGCAAACCGACACUGGUAGAUGAGUUGAAAAUACUAAGGCGGCGAGUUAAUCCCUCUUAAGGAACUCGGCAAAUUGACCCCGUAACUUCGGAAUAAGGGGUGCUAACGAUGUAAGUAGCCGCUUGCCGGUGAAAGUGUUGUUAGUCGCAGAGAAUAGGCCCAACCGACUGUUAAGCAAAAACAUAGGUCUCUGCAAAGCUGUAAAGCGACGUAUAGGGGCUGACGCCUGCCCGGUGCUGGAACGUUAAGAGGAGGGCUUAGAGCAAUCGAAGGUCUGAAUUGAAGCGCCAGUAAACGGCGGCCGUAACUAUAACGGUCCUAAGGUAGCGAAAUUCCUUGUCAGGUAAGUUCUGACCUGCACGAAUGGCGUAACGAGUUGGGCACUGUCUCAAGAGGGAUCUCGGCGAAAUUGCAAACUCUGUGAAGAUGCAGAGUACCCGCAGCAAGACGGAAAGACCCCGUGGAGCUUUACUGUAACUUGAUGUUGGGAUUUGGUUACUUCUGUACAGGAUAUGUGGGAGACUUUGAUGUGCGGUCACAAGGUCGCACGGAGUCGUCGGUGGGAUACCACGCUGAAGUGGCUGGAUUUCUAACCCUUGCCUUAAUCAGGUAACGGGACAGCGUCAGGCGGGCAGUUUGACUGGGGCGGUUGCCUCCCAAAGAGUAACGGAGGCGUUCAAAGGUUCCCUCAGGCUGGUUGGACAUCAGCCGUAGAGUGCAAGCGCAUAAGGGAGCUUGACUGCAAGACGUACAUGUCGUGCAGAGUGGAAACACGGAGUUAGUGAUCCGGCGGUGCCGAAUGGAAGGGCCGUCGCUUAUCGGAUAAAAGCUACCCCGGGGAUAACAGGCUUAUCACGCCCAAGAGUCCAUAUCGACGGCGUGGUUUGGCACCUCGAUGUCGGCUCAUCGCAUCCUGGGGCUGUAUUCGGUCCCAAGGGUUUGGCUGUUCGCCAAUUAAAGCGGUACGUGAGCUGGGUUCAGAACGUCGUGAGACAGUUCGGUCCCUAUCUGCUGUGGGCGUAGGAUAUUUGAAGGGCUCUGUCCUUAGUACGAGAGGACCAGGAUGGACAGACCUCUGGUGAACCAGUUGUGAAGCCAAUUUGCAGAGCUGGGUAGCUAUGUUUGGAUGGGAUAAACGCUGAAAGCAUCUAAGCGUGAAACCCGCCCUGAGAUAAGAUAUCCCACCGCGCGAGCGGUUAAGACUCCAGGAAGACGACCUGGUAAUAGGCCGGAGGUGUAAGUGCUGUGAGGCACUAAGCUAACCGGUACUAAUAAGUCGAGGACUUCGAUA
rnacentral:rRNA from 1 species